UAGAAAACAAAACGAACCGGGCAUUGGU
rnacentral:piRNA from 1 species